GAUGAACGCUAGCGGCAGGCUUAAUACAUGCAAGUCGAGGGGCAGCAUAAGUAGCAAUACUUGAUGGCGACCGGCAAACGGGUGCGGAACACGUACGCAACCUUCCUUUAAGUGGGGAAUAGCCCGGGGAAACCCGGAUUAAUACCCCGUAAUAUUAUGAUGUGGCAUCACAUUAUAAUUAUAGAUUCAUCGCUUAAAGAUGGCGUGCGCCUGAUUAGGUAGUUGGCGGAGUAAUAGCCCACCAAGCCUGCGAUCAGUAACUGGUGUGAGAGCACGACCAGUCACACGGGCACUGGAGACACGGG
rnacentral:rRNA from 1 species